rnacentral:misc_RNA from 1 species
AAGAGUUGCAAAACUCCCACAAACCAUCGCGAACGCUACCCUAUACCGUUGCUUCGGCGGAAGGCGGCCACUGCCCUGUGGCGGCCCGCUUCCCCCGCCGGAGGGACACAACCCAACUCUUAGUAUUAUUGGCCUCUCUGAGUAUGAUUUACAAAUAAGUCA